UACGAAGGGGGCUAGCGUUGCUCGGAAUCACUGGGCGUAAAGCGCACGUAGGCGGCUUUCUAAGUCAGGGGUGAAAUCCUGGAGCUCAACUCCAGAACUGCCUUUGAUACUGGAGAGCUUGAGUCCGGAAGAGGUGAGUGGAAUUCCUAGUGUAGAGGUGAAAUUCGUAGAUAUUAGGAAGAACACCAGUGGCGAAGGCGGCUCACUGGUCCGGUACUGACGCUGAGGUGCGAAAGCGUGGGGAGCAAACAGG
rnacentral:rRNA from 1 species